AGGCGCGUUGCUCAGCUGGUUAGAGCACCUCCUUGACAUGGUGGGGGUCGUUGGUUCGAGUCCAAUCGCGCCUACCA
rnacentral:tRNA from 1 species